CUGUGCACCUUUUUGUAGACCUUGGAGAAUUGUCUUGAUAGAUUUUUUGGGGACUGCUGUGCCUUUUGAAUGAAGGGCCAGCUUUCCCUUGUCUCUCUAGGUUCUAUGUUAUUCACAUACUCCUAUGAAUGUAAUAGAAUGUUGAUCUGGGCCCUUUUAGUGCCCAUAAAGUUUUUAUACAACUUUCAGCAAUGGAUCUCUUGGCUCUCGCAUCGAUGAAGAACGCAGCGAAAUGCGAUAAGUAAUGUGAAUUGCAGAAUUCAGUGAAUCAUCGAAUCUUUGAACGCAUCUUGCGCUCCUUGGUAUUCUGAGGAGCAUGCCUGUUUGAGUGUCAUUAAAUUCUCAACUACACUGACUUUGAAUUGGUGUGGCUUGGAUUUGGGGGGAAAAUUGUUGUGGGCUUUUUGUAUAGUCUGCUCCCCUGAAAUUGAUUAGCGGUACCUUUGUGGAACUGUCUACAGGUGUGAUAAUUAUCUACAUCCUAGACAU
rnacentral:rRNA from 1 species